rnacentral:misc_RNA from 1 species
GAUUAAGAACGCAGCGAAAUGCGAUAAGUAAUGUGAAUUGCAGAAUUCAGUGAAUCAUCGAAUCUUUGAACGCACCUUGCACUCCUUGGUAUUCCGAGGAGUAUGCCUGUUUGAGUGUCAUUAAAUCAUCAAUCUAACUUCAUUUUGUGAGGUUGGCUUGGAUUUGGAGACUGUUGAACCUCUCUCUUGAGAUUUGACUUCUCUUGAAUGCAUUAGUUGGAUUGAAUUGCAACGCUAUUUGUGGUGUGAUAAUAUCUUCACUGCAUAGUUGUAAUGAAGUCUGGCUUCUAACAGUCCUUCAUUGGACAAUCUUGACCAUCUGACCUCAAAUCAGGUAGGACUACCCGCUGAACUUAAGCAUAUCAAUAAGCGGAGGA